rfam:Edhazardia aedis TSNM 41457 supercont1.39, whole genome shotgun sequence.
GCCUCCUUAGCUCAGGGGUAGAGCGCCAGUCUUGUAAACUGGCGGUCAUCGGUUCAAAUCCGAUAGGCGGCA